UGAACCUACGGGCGGCAGCAGUAGGGACUCUUCCACACUGGCCGAAAGUCUGAUGGAGCAACGCCGCGUGAGUGAAGAAGGGUUUCGGCUCGUAAAGCUCUGUUGGUAGGGAAGAAAGAUAGAGGUAGUAACUGGCCUUUAUUUGACGGUAAUUACUUAGAAAGUCACGGCUAACUACGUGCCAGCAGCCGCGGUAAUACUGAGGGGGCAAGCGUUGUCCGGAUUUAUUGGGCGUAAAGCGAGGGCAGGCGG
rnacentral:rRNA from 1 species